CGCACCGCGUGCGCAAAACCCAGCUGACGACACACCACGGCGGCUGCCUUGGUGUCCCAGGCGUCGUCGCACACCGUGCCCCAGCGUCCGCCUAUGAACACUUCCACGCGACCGCGGCCGGGGCUCAGGCCUGCGGGCCGUACCAGACGCACCGAUCCGUUCUCGGGUUCGGGGACCGCGAACCUGAGGGGUAUGACCGGGAUGAGGAGACGAAACCUUUACCCUGGAGAAGAUGAACAUUUCCAAGGCCAAGAGAUGACAACGGAAUGAGGACCAGACAAUAUGGGCCAGAGCCCAGUUCAGGGACUCACCUGGAGGGAUCGAUGACUUUGUAGAUGACCCCAUGUGCAGCCGUGGCACUGGGAACACCCGUGGACAUGAAGUACAGCUCCCCUUUGAACAGGGAACAAGGCAAUGAGGACCCUGAGAGGGUGCUUUGGCUUCCUAACACCUCAGCAUGCCUUGAUCCUCUGCAGCACAGUCCCCAGAGGUCUCCUCAUGCCUGGCCCCAUAAAGGCUCACACCUCCACCAACCAUGACCCAGCUCCCUGCUUGGAUAGAGUUUGGCCAGGCUAUUCUGCUGGCUACAGUCAUCUGAAGACUCAGCCUUCACCUCCCAUGUGUACAUAAGGACCAAGCUGAAGCUGCCAGUGCUGCCUACCUUGUCCUCUUGGUCUCUGUGCUUCGAGUGUUUUUUGUUUGUUUGUUUGUUUUUGUUUUUUUUUGAGACAGGGGUGUCUGCAUGUAUGCCUGCAAACCAGAAGAGGGCACCAGAUCUCAUUACAGAUGGUUGUAAGCCACCAAGUCGUUGCUGGGAAUUGAACUCAGGACCUCUGGAAGAGCAGUCAGCACUCUUAACCUCUGAGCCAUCUCUCCUGCCUGGCCUUCUGGAUCUUGUUGCCUCCACUUCCUAAGAGCUGCUAUUAUAGGGAAUGUACCAACCACUCUCAGUUUUUUACCAUGAGCCUUUUUUAAGUCACUGUUGGAGGCACGUGCUUUCAUGCUCCUUCUCCACCUGUCAGGUCCAUGGGACAAACCUUCUGUCAUUGAGAAGUGGUCUCUCAGGCUUGGCUGUAAUCCUGAAAAUUCUGUUUCCCUCGCCCCACUCCCUCUGGCUGCCAGAUAACUCGAGUCAAAACUAAUGCUCUAAGACAAGAUUAUAACCCUCAAAGC
rnacentral:lncRNA from 1 species